GUGAAAGUAACGAUCACGAGGGAGGAGGAGAGCCACCUAAUGAAGAAGAAAGGAAUUAUCCCGCGGUGACAACCACUAUUAAAGCUCAAGACGAAAAGUGGAAUGAAGGAUUACAAGAGGCUCCACCUAGCAAAAAACAUGGAACUUCCCCGAUAGAGAUACCCGCUGACAUGAGUGAUAUACAACGAGAGAAUGGACACGUGACGUGGCCACAGGAAGAACCAAUCAACAUGAUCAAAACCAUUAACUGCUCAUCUUUCCAACAAGUAAGCUCAGGGAGCAUCAGUGAAGUUCGUGAAACUUCGGCAACACCUGAUGGAACAAAGGAGGAUGAAGACGACGAAG